GGGAGAGGGAGGGCGGCUGACGGUGGUCCCGCAACCUUGGGGCCGCUGAGGAAAGUCCCCCCUCCUGCCGGGCAGGGGUGCCACCGCAAGGUGGCCACCCGAGAGGGUGGGCAACGGCACAGAAACGCCACAGCCACGGGUUAUAUGGCGAUGAUAGGGGAAUAAGCCCUUGAGGACUCCCGUGGAGUUGGUGAAACGGCCGUCCACCCCGGAGCAAGUCCAGUAGGGUCGGGAUGAAUGCCCGGCUGACCGACCGGGUAGGACGCUUAGAAGAAUGCCGCCAGAACAGAAGGGGGCUUACUCCCCUCACCC
rnacentral:RNase_P_RNA from 1 species